CACUCCGCCUGGGGAGUACGACCGCAAGGUUGAAACUCAAAGGAAUUGACGGGGGCCCGCACAAGCGGUGGAGCAUGUGGUUUAAUUCGAAGCAACGCGAAGAACCUUACCAGGUCUUGACAUCCUUUGACCACUCUGGAGACAGAGCUUUCCCUUCGGGGACAAAGUGACAGGUGGUGCAUGGUUGUCGUCAGCUCGUGUCGUGAGAUGUUGGGUUAAGUCCCGCAACGAGCGCAACCCUUGAUUUUAGUUGCCAGCAUUUAGUUGGGCACUCUAAAGUGACUGCCGGUGCAAGCCGGAGGAAGGUGGGGAUGACGUCAAAUCAUCAUGCCCCUUAUGACCUGGGCUACACACGUGCUACAAUGGAUAGUACAAAGGGUCGCGAAGCCGCGAGGUGGAGCUAAUCCCAUAAAACUAUUCUCAGUUCGGAUUGUAGGCUGCAACUCGCCUACAUGAAGCCGGAAUCGCUAGUAAUCGUGGAUCAGCAUGCCACGGUGAAUACGUUCCCGGGCCUUGUACACACCGCCCGUCACACCACGAGAGUUUGUAACACCCGAAGUCGGUAGGGUAACCUUUAUGGAGCCAGCCGCCGAAGGUGGGACAGAUAAUUGGGGUGAAGUCGUAACAAGGUAGCCGUAUCGGAAGGUGCGGCUGGAUCACCUCCUUUCUAAGGAA
rnacentral:rRNA from 1 species